AGCAUCUGCAGUUCCUGUUGUCUCUCUCAGAAAACUACUGUGCAGGAAAAAGGAAAUUUGGUAUUUAUUGGUAACGGAAUAGAGUAUGAAAGUAGGGAAGUGUUGCUGUAACCGUACAUAGCAUUAGCUAGGCUACACCUGGAGUAUUGUAUACAAUUUUGGUCCCAUUUUACUUGAGGAUGAAUGUACUUGCAUUGGAAGCAAUUCAGAGAUGAUUCACUGCAUUAAUUCCUGAGGAUCCUGUGGUUUCAGGGCAGCCUGGGGAGUGAGUACUGUAAAGUACAAGACACUGGGAUUGUGGAGUCAGGCCCAAUUGAGGUGUUUGACAUUAAUCAGGAACAAAGGCAAUGUGCUUUGUGUCAGCAGCUGCUGACUGAGGGAAACAUGCCAUAUCUGCAUGGCUUCCGCCGCAUCCUCUUCGAGUACCAGGCAUUGGUUGACGAAAUCCUCAAGGUCGUGGACUUAGAGGAAGCAAGAAGAGAGCCAGGCACUGGAAACCGAGGAAGGUGAAUUUGAGGGACUGUAGCGUAACUUGGUGACUCAACCUCGACAGGCCUCUGCAGGAAACAGUUCCACAGACUGACUCCCCUCUGAGAGAAGAACUUCCUCCCCAUCUCUGUCUUAAAUGGGCAAUGCUGUCUGGCCCUUGACUCUCCCAAAAGGGACAUCACCCCCCUCACUUCUCCCCAGUCAAGUUCCCUAAGAACCUCGUGUGUUUCAACAAGGUCACCUCUCAUUCUCCUAAACACCAACAAAUGUGGGUCAAACCCACUCAGCGUCUCCUCAUGCCUGGAAUCAGCCGAGUGAACCUCCUCUGAACUGCCUCCAAUGCCAGUACUUCUUUCAUUAUCACAGGAAAUCACACAACACCAGGUUACAGUCCAACAGGUUUAUUUGAAGGCACAAGCUUACAGAGCCUCGCUCCUUCUUCAGGCUUCAUUAGCUAAUGGCCCAGUACUGUUGAGAGUAUUCCAGCUGUGGUCUGACAAGUGCCUUGUAUAGUUUUAGUAAAACCUCCAUGUUUUUAUGUCCUGUUCUCUCUGAAGUGAAGACCAAUGUUCCAUUUGCCUUCCCUACUCCCCACUGCUAGCUUUCUGCGAUUUAUGCACACAGACUGCCAGAACCCUCUGUGCUGUAGCUUUGCGCAAUCUUUCUCCAUUUAAUUAAUAUUCACCUCCUCUAUUCUUCCUGCCAAAUAACAUAACCUCACAUUUUCCCCACGUUCCAUGUGCUAGGUUUUUGCCCCCUCCCUUAACCUGCCAAAUCCCUCCGCAGACUCCGUGUGCCCCCCUCAGCACUGACCUCCCCACCUGCUUUGGAAUCGUCUGCAAACUUGGCAAUAGUAAGUUAAUUCUCCUCAUCCAAGUCAUUACUACAUAUUGUAAAUAACGGUGGCCCCAUCGUCGAUCCCUGUGCCGUGCUGAAAAACAUCCCGUUAUCCCUACUCCCUGUAGCCCAUGAGUUAGUGAAUCCUCUGUUGAUGCUAAUGUACUACCCGCCCAACACCAUGGGCUUUUAUCAAGUAGCCUAAUGCGUGGUACCUUGUCAGGCAUCUUCUGAAACUCCAAAUGCUCUCCAUCCACCGUUUCCCCUUUAUCUAUCCUGAUGUUUUACCUCAAAGGAUUCUAGUAACUUUGUCAGGAUUGGUUCCCCACUUCAUGAUGCCAUGCUGACUCUGGUUGAUCAUACUUUGUCUUUCUAAAUGCUGUGCUAUUACAUCCUUUAUAGUAGACUCGAGCCUUCCCAUAAAUAACAAAUGUUAAAUUAACCUACCCAUGUUACCUGUUUUUUUUGACUGCUGCUUUGAAAUAAAGGUGUUACGGCGGCAGUUUUCCAACCCCCUGGGACUUUCUCAGAGCCCAAAGAUUCCUGGCAUGCACUUAUCUGUAGCUACUUCCUUCAACGUCUUUGACAUGAGGCCCCUUUUAAGUAUUUUUAACUUUCAACGAGAUUCUUUUCUUUCUUUGAACCUCUAGAGGAUAGAAGCUCAGCCCCUCUCCAUAGGGCAGCCGUGCCACCCUGGGAAUCAAUGUGCCAUAUCAUUACUGUUGUGGGAGCACAUUUCUUGAGAUCAGGGCACCAGAACCAUACACUGUCCUCCUAGUGCGAUCUAACAAAACUCCUGUACAAUUCAAGAAAGACUUCAUGACUUCUGUGUAAACAUUUCUUUCUCUCCCCAUUAGUCACUUGAUUUAAUAUUUUUGAAACGUGGUUAAUAU